rnacentral:rRNA from 1 species
GACGUAGGUGGCGAGCGUUGUUCGGAAUCACUGGGCAUAAAGCGCACGUAGGCGGCCAAGUCAGUCCGGUGUGAAAUACCUCGGCUCAACCGAGGAACUGCGCCUGAUACUGCUUGGCUUGAGGUCCGGAGGGGAGAGUGGAAUUCCCGGUGGAGCGGUGAAAUGCGUAGAGAUCGGGAAGAACGCCGGCGGCGAAGGCGGGUUGCUGGGCCGACACUGACGCUGAGGCGCGAAAGCCAGGGGAGCGAACGGG